GCCUACUGCGCAUGUGCGGUAUGUUCAUUCACGGCAUGGCGCGACGGGAGGGCGACAGGUGUGGCGGUACAUCAACACAGAUCUGCACCUGUGUUUGUUUCCCACUUCCCUGCUUCAGCAUUAUUCAUGACCGCAAAGUCAACCGACUGGAUGAGAAGGACAAAUAAGCCGUGAGCAGGAACGAGGAGGCAGGCCAGAGGAGUGGAGGAGUUCGUUAUGUAAUAUCCAAAGAGGAGAGGCUCCAAAGAAAGAACCCAGCGGGGGAGACGGGCUCUGACCUACAGGUGCAGCCGCUGUGGGAGGACUGCCUGCUUUUGGCUGCAUGACCCUGCAUACGAGUUAAGAACCGUGUCCCAAACACACAUUAAAUCUAUACAGUUCCUGCAGAGAGAAGCAGAGAAAACAGGAAUUAGCUGUUAGAGAGAACUUGGUUAUGUUGGAGCAGAUUUUAGCUGGACGAUAUCUCUCUACCAGAGCGGGUGAAGGCUGAUUCUUUGAUCUAAAAUGAUUUUCUUGAGUUGUCUGUGAAUAAAUUCGUUAGUGGAUCAUUUUA